GUGGUGUAAGGUGUAACAUCGCUGCCCGGAAAGCAGAAGAUGCGGGUUCGAGUCCCGCC
rnacentral:tRNA from 1 species